CGCAUCUGUGCAUGCAGCAUAUCAAUAAGCGGAGGAAAAGAAACUAACAAGGAUUCCCCUAGUAACGGCGAGUGAAGCGAGAAGAGCUCAAAUUUGAAAUCUUAAAGGGUUUCCCUUUACGAAUUGUAGUUUAAAGAAGUGUUUUCUGUUGAGGUUUUGGUAAAAGUUCUUUGGAAUAGGACAUCAUAGAGGGUGAGAAUCCCGUAUUUGACCUUUACUUUCAACUUUGUGACACACUUUCAAAGAGUCGGAUUGUUUGGGAAUGCAGUCCAAAAUGGGUGGUAAAUUUCAUCUAAAGCUAAAUAUUGGCGAGAGACCGAUAGCGAACAAGUACCGUGAGGGAAAGAUGAAAAGAACUUUGAAAAGAGAGUUAAACAGUACGUGAAAUUGUCGAAAGGGAAGCGUUUGACACCAGUGUUGUUUUUCUGAAAAUCAAUUAAAGAACUGUUUAUGCUAAGCUGUUUAGACUUUAUCAGCUAACUGUUUAGUUUUGAGCUUUUCUUUAAUGCACUUUUCAGUUAACAAGUCAACAUCAAUUUCUUUUGCUGUAAAAAGCUUGAGGAAGGUGGCUUGAGAUUCGUCUUAAGUGUUUAUAGCCUCUUGCCUAUGCAGUCGGAGAGAUUGAGGUCUGCAGCGUAGAUCCUUCGGGGCUAAAUGCAUUUGUGCUAAGUUAUAGCAUUUUAUAGACAACUUGUUGACUAUGAUUUGUCUUGUAGCUUACUCGCUUAUGUUAUUUUACCUACGCUUAGGAUGUUGAGUCGUAGAGCACGCAG
rnacentral:rRNA from 1 species